rnacentral:rRNA from 1 species
CUAUCUCAGUUCGGAUUGGAGGCUGAAACCCGCCUCCAUGAAGUUGGAUUCGCUAGUAAUCGCGCAUCAGCCAUGGCGCGGUGAAUACGUUCCCGGGCCUUGUACACACCGCCCGUCAAGCCAUGGGAGCUGGGGGUGCCUGAAGUUCGUGACCGCAAGGAUCGACCUAGGGCAAAACCGGUGACUGGGGCUAAGUCGUAACAAGGUAAC